AUUGAACGCUGGCGGCAGGCCUAACACAUGCAAGUCGAGCGGAUGACGGGAGCUUGCUCCUUGAUUCAGCGGCGGACGGGUGGGUAAUGCCUAGGAAUCUGCCUGGUAGUGGGGGACAACGUUUCGAAAGGAACGCUAAUACCGCAUACGUCCUACGGGAGAAAGCAGGGGACCUUCGGGCCUUGCGCUAUCAGAUGAGCCUAGGUCGGAUUAGCUAGUUGGUGGGGUAAUGGCUCACCAAGGCGACGAUCCGUAACUGGUCUGAGAGGAUGACCAGUCACACUGGAACUGAGACACGGUCCAGACUCCUACGGGAGGCAGAAGUGGGGAAUAUUGGACAAUGGGCGAAAGCCUGAUCCAGCCAUGCCGCGUGUGUGAAGAAGGUCUUCGGAUUGUAAAGCACUUCAAGUUGGGAGGAAGGGCAGUAAGUUAAUACCUUGCUGUUUUGACGUUACCGACAGAAUAAGCACCGGCUAACUCUGUGCCAGCAGCCGCGGUAA
rnacentral:rRNA from 1 species